CCUACGGGUGGCAGCAGUAGGGAAUAUUGCUCAAUGGGGGAAACCCUGAAGCAGCAACGCCGCGUGGAGGAUGAAGGUUUUCGGAUUGUAAACUCCUUUUGUUAGAGAAGAUAAUGACGGUAUCUAACGAAUAAGCACCGGCUAACUCCGUGCCAGCAGCCGCGGUAAUACGGAGGGUGCAAGCGUUACUCGGAAUCACUGGGCGUAAAGAGCGCGUAGGCGGGAUAGCAAGUCAGAUGUGAAAUCCUAUGGCUUAACCAUAGAACUGCAUUUGAAACUGUUCUUCUAGAGUAUGGGAGAGGUAGGUGGAAUUCUUGGUGUAGGGGUAGAAUGCGUAGAGAUCAAGAGGAAUACUCAUUGCGAAGGCGACCUGCUAGACCAUAACUGACGCUGAUGCGCGAAAGCGUGGGGAGCAAACAGGAUUAGAUACCCUAGUAGUC
rnacentral:rRNA from 1 species